rnacentral:lncRNA from 1 species
ACAGAACUGGCAAGGGAACUGAAUUUUUCAGUGGAUGAAAUCAAUCAAAUACGUGUGGAAAAUCCAAAUUCUUUAAUUUCUCAGAGCUUCAUGUUAUUAAAAAAAUGGGUUACCAGAGACGGAAAAAAUGCCACAACUGAUGCCUUAACUUCGGUCUUGACAAAAAUUAAUCGAAUAGAUAUAGUGACACUGCUAGAAGGACCAAUAUUUGAUUAUGGAAAUAUUUCAGGCACCAGAAGUUUUGCAGAUGAGAACAAUGUUUUCCAUGACCCUGUUGAUGGUAAUCGAAUUUAGUGUUCAUAUUUAUUUAAUCAUUUGAUAAAAUUUGAAAGUGCAGUCAGACAAGGCAGUCACUUAAAAGCAACUAAACUGUGAUUUGCUUGACUUAGUUUCUCAUUUUCUCUGCCAGAGUCUGCAAAUAAACACUCUGAUAUCAGAGCAAACUUGGUAAAUACCUCUGUUUAUAUACAAUAUAAAUAUACAAUAUAAAUCAUGACGUAUGAACGCCUAAGGUAUCUGAAAGAGUUGGUAUUUCUAAUAUUUCAUAAAAGUUAAAUAUCUAGAGAAUGCAUUGCUUUUGUCACUUUUAAUUUUUAUAUUAACCCUCCUAAACUAGUUACCUCUUUUAUUCGUAUAUAGGUAAAACAAACGAUGAGCCAUUUUUAUCAAAUAAGCAAGGUAUUGAGUAAAGUGUAAGCAUAUAGUAUACAAAUUGUAAGGUAAAAUGGCAAUUUACUGUGUGGCACCAGGUAUUUAAAUGUGCACUGAAAAAAUUUAAUGUAUCAUUCAAGUAUGUGCUUUAGUUAUUUAGCGUUCGUUGUUAUUUUAACUUCAUGAAUAUGCUGCCAUUUAUUCUUUGGAAAAACUGCUUGAUCUAUUGUAUAUCAAAGGCAGCAUAAUUUCUAAUUCAGUCGGCAUACAUGUUACUAACAACAAUUCCUCUUUCACAUUAGCUUAAUUUAUAUAAUGAUCUUGUCAUUUUUUCCUCAUUAUGUAAAUUGUGCUUUCUUCACUGAAAUAUUAAGAAAAACAUAAUAAAUAUCUUCCUAUGUUUUUCAAAAUAGUCCUGUCUUAGGCUCACAAAUGAAAAUUUAUUCCUACAAUGAAUUUUUGUUCUGUUUUUGAGACGAAGUCUCGCUCUGUCGCCUAAGCUGGAGUGCAAUGGCACGAUCUCGGCUCACUGCAACCUCUGCCUCCUGGGUUCAAGCCAUUCUCCUGUCUCAGCCUCCUGAGUAGCUGGGAUUACAGGCAUGCACCACCGUGCCCAGCAAAUUUUUUGUAUUUUUAGUAAAGAUGGGGGUUUCACCACGUUGGCCAGGCUGGUCUCGAACUCUUGACCUCAAGUGAUCCACCCACCUCUGCCUCCCAAAGUGCUGGAAUUACAGGCAUGAGCCACCCCACCCAGCCUCUAUAAUGAAUUUUGAGUAGAAAAUUUGAUGAUGGUGUGGAGGCAGGAAUAAGAACUAAGGA